AUAAGGGCCGGUUGCGCAAUCCAAGUUCAGCGGUGAACGUGGUUUAACGAAAGUUUUCGGUUGUACCAGUCGCGUUUAAGCUUGAACGGCAGAUUAAAUCCGAGUUCAGUUUUACCGCACAGUUUGUGCGGCACAGAACGUACCUCCUUAGGAGCGGUUGCAUAAAAGCAAGUUCAACGAUGGUUCAGCAGAACCGAGUUCGAUUAUUCACGGGUUGUACAACGCCUAGCGGAACUCGGUUCAGUUGAACUGGACAAUCACAUCAAUUUUUUUUCUCAGGUGGGCUCUUCCGAACCUUUGUAAAAUGUGCUAUUUGGUAAACUUUGAUUGGCUACUAUGUUUGUCGUGGUACAACCCGUGAAUAAUUGAACUUGGUUCAGCUGAACCAUCGUUCAACUUGCUUUUGUGCAACCAGCCUUAAGUCGAUCUUUCCCCUGGCUAGAGAAUUAUACUUUAUUGCGCAACAUUGAACAUAACCUAUACUGACUGACAUUCAACGCAGUUCAUUUGUAAUCUUCGCUGUUGAACAUACACAAACUCUCCAAAAUGUCCCUUGGAAAAACAAUUUACAAUUCCAUUUUCAAGAGGUCUUCCACCUUCACUCUGGCUUUCAUUGCGUCGGCCUUUAUUUUCGAGAGAACGCUGGAUUCGGCCUGUGACACCAUAUUUGACAAUAUCAAUAAAGGGAAAUUAUGGAAGGACAUCAAGGACAACUACACCCAGUAAUAUACUUAGCUCAUCUCAUAUAGUAUAACUUAUUCUGAAUGUUAACGCAGUUUAUAAAUAAAAAAUUCUAAAACA